UUAGUAGUUGGCACUUGACGCUUCCUGUAAAGGUUCAUUCAUACAGUUAGAAGAACUGUUCCAUGAUGGUAAAGAGGCGUAGUUUACUUCCUAGGCUGUGUACUUUAUCUGGGUCACAUAACAGUGUUGUCUCCCCCAAUCUUGGAAAUCAUUCAAAACGUUAAUUUGUUGAGACAAUUAAUUGUGCGGCUGAAUUUGAAACAUCUGAACAUCUUUUGGAAUUAGGACAUGUUCUAAGUGUUGUACCAAAAUAGAUUCACUGCAUCCAUCGUGAACUUCUCCGUCCUCUGUUGCUCUGCCAUCUUCUCUCUUCCGCUCCUCCCUUUCCUUUCUCAUUUUAAAGUGGUGGUUAUGUGAUGCGCCUCUCUGCUCAGAUCCCAUUUCAUCUCCGCUCACGCCACGUAUCACAUCGCUUCUAGGCGCAGAUUGCUUCUCCAGGAUCAGACUUUAUGAACCACAUAUUUCCUACUCAUGUCUGUAUGUUGUCACAGAAACACAAUGAGCAAAUAACGUAGGCGAGAAAAAGAUGUAGACAGAAUGGACCUUUAACGAUACUGAAAGGUUUUUAACACAGUAAAAUGAUAUGCCCGUGUAGUUCUCUAGUUGGAAACGUUUGUACCCAAAGAUAGGCUAGCGCAACAUGAAGGGAAAAAAAUACAAUAACCAGUAAACCUUCUUCCAAUAUCAAUGUACUAUAUAUCACAUUACUCUAUAUCUCCAGGCAUGAAAAAUCACCUCUUUAUCUCAUUUCUGUCCAUGAUAUUGGACUGCUUUAGAAGUAAAUCUUGAGCUGUCAAGCUCAGCUGACAUUAUCCUACUGAAAAUAAAGAAGAAAUCAGACUUUUGCUUUAGAAUAUUAAAAUAAAAGCAACAAAAUGAUCAAAAAUAACGCUCAGCCCCGUGUGGUAGACCGACUACGCUACCUCCUCUUGAAGAAUCACCUGCAGAUAAGAACCAGUGCUGUCUGAAUCAUAGCCUCACUACAACAUGUGUAAAAGGUAGCUGGCAUAGAGAUGCAUGUAAUGUAAUAACAGCUAUUGUGCAGGAGCUACUAAUAGCUAGGUAGCAAAUAUGUUUACCAUUGCAAAAUGCAGUGCCAAAAAGCAAUGUUCAGUCGACAUAAAUUUGGACAUUUUAGACACACGUUGGCAAGGGCACAGACAAGAAUCCAUAAGGAUUCAUAGAACUCUCUGUCCUAAUGAGUGAGAUGGGAUGUUUUUAUGGAGGAUCGGUCCAGGGAGAGACAACACAGCCAUCAGUGCAUGUGUAUUUUCCAAAGCACACUAACCCUGCUACAGCAGCAGGAAGCAGUUUGGAGUAGUUAAGCCGUACAUUUCUAAACC